UGGAAAUCACAGUAAAGACUAGAUUCCAUUAAAUUAUACUGUGAAGUUACUAGUUGAACAAUGUCCAACAUGAAUCAAUUGUGUCACAACUUGUGAUUGUGAACACUGAGGUGGUUUUAAUAAUUGAUGCAAAUGCAUAGCGAGUUUGUGUUGAUGAUUAGCUGAGUAGUGACCUCAUGCAACUAUAUCUGAACAGUUCUCUUAAUUUACACGAAAUAUAUUGUAAAAAACAAUAAUGAAAAUUUCCAUUGGUAUUGCUUUUCAUUGUUGACAGGCUUAUGCGAAGUUCUCCAGGGAUCUGGAGAGACAUCAAAUUAAAUAUUUUGAUCUCUCAACCGAAUUCUUUGACCUUCACAAUGAUUUUAUGGUCAUUUCCACUCAACAUGAGUCAGACUUGGAGGCGUUUGAGCUCAUUAAGAAACAGUUUGAAAUGGAUUUGGAAUCCCACGCAGAUACUAUUGAAGCAUACUGCAGUAAUGUCAAGGAAUGUACUGACCAGGGAUCCAGCUUUACCGAUUCUGACAACGUGAAUGAUGCUGAAUCCAUUCAUGAGCAGCGUGCUGAACUCUUUCAAAAGUAUCAGCAGGCAUAUGCUAGCUAUGUGGAAUCAUUCACAAAGUCUAAAAAGUUUUUUGAAGAUUUGAAGUCUACUGUUCAAAAUUUUUAGAGACGCUAUGCGCCACUCUAAUGAGGAUCCUCAGAGAACUAGCUAAACAGAUGGUAGAGCAACUAACUGUUCAAGGUGGUGCAGCAGUUGAUGAAGGUGUCCCUCAGUUUGAUAGUCAAAAAUACUUGUCCAUCAUGCAAUAGGUCAUGUGAAUGGAAGCAAGUGGUUUACCAUGUCUCUAUUACCACUAGUAGACUUUGACACCUUUAGUUGUUAUUUUCAGACCAUGCUGCUCUUGUUCAUUCCUGAAUUAAGGUGCUUUAUAUGCAUUCUCUAAUGUUCACAAAACCAAGUCAUUUCUAUGAAAGUUAGGCUCAUGGUAUAUC